AGUGAACGCUGGCGGUAGGCCUAACACAUGCAAGUCGAACGGCAGCACAGUAAGAGCUUGCUCUUACGGGUGGCGAGUGGCGGACGGGUGAGGAAUACAUCGGAAUCUACUUUUUCGUGGGGGAUAACGUAGGUAAACUUACGCUAAUACCGCAUACGACCUACGGGUGAAAUCAGGGGAUCUUCUGACCUUGCGCGAUUGAAUGAGCCGAUGUCGGAUUAGCUAGUUGGCGGGGUAAAGGCCCACCAAGGCGACGAUCCGUAGCUGGUCUGAGAGGAUGAUCAGCCACACUGGAACUGAGACACGGUCCAGACUCCUACGGGAGGCAGCAGUGGGGAAUAUUGGACAAUGGGCGCAAGCCUGAUCCAGCCAUACCGCGUGGGUGAAGAAGGCCUUCGGGUUGUAAAGCCCUUUUGUUGGGAAAGAAAAGCAGCAGGUUAAUACCCCGCUGUUCCGACGGUACCCAAAGAAUAAGCACCGGCUAACUUCGUG
rnacentral:rRNA from 1 species